rnacentral:rRNA from 1 species
UACGUAGGGGGCAAGCGUUGUCCGGAUUUAUUGGGCGUAAAGAGCUCGUAGGCGGCUCAGUAAGUCGGGUGUGAAACCUCCAGGCUCAACCUGGAGACGCCACUCGAUACUGCUGUGGCUUGAGUCCGGUAGGGGAGCACGGAAUUCCUGGUGUAGCGGUGAAAUGCGCAGAUAUCAGGAGGAACACCAGUGGCGAAGGCGGUGCUCUGGGCCGGAACUGACGCUGAGGAGCGAAAGCGUGGGGAGCAAACAGG